rnacentral:lncRNA from 1 species
UGCAUAUGACAGAAUCCAAAAGUGUUCUUAAAUCUUCACAUUUGUAGACUAAUCAGAAGCAAACAGGAGGCACUAAACUAUCCAUAUGUGUCAAUACCAUUGAUGUAGAGAAUCAUGAGCAAAAUCCAACAAUGUAUGAAAUACAUCCUCAAACCAUGUAUAUCAAAUGACUGAAACCAGCAGAGCAUGAUCUCCAAAUGCAAUAACAAUACCAAUAAUUGCAACACUAAUAACNNNNNNNNNNNNNNNNNNNNNNNNNNNNNAAUUGUAGCAGCCAACACAUAAUCCAAAAUUGUCUUCAUCAUCAGAAAGUCACAAACAAUAAGCCAAGACUUCAUCAAAACAUGUAUGAAUUUGCAAAACUCAAUAACCAUUUGAUAUACAACUGAAGCCAUAAGCAACCAAUUAUCAAACAAAGCUUGAAUAAUGANNNNNNAUCUUCCAAACCAUGCCACUAUACUGAUAAAGCUUUCAAUAUUCCAUAAAACAUAUUAGCUCAAGAAUCAUCAUCUAGACUCCACCAAAUUGCAAUAGUGAACCUGGAUUCAAAAAGGACUUUACACAGACACCUUAUAUUCUUAGUGCAUCAAAUCAAUAGUUGACCAAAAACAGAGAUUCAUUGAUUGCCACCGGGAUCAAAGACAAUGAUCACAUAAUCUGUUUUGCCAUCGUUGUGAGAUUGAGAUUCACAGCUACGAAUUUCUCCAUAAUCAUCGAGAACCUUCGCAACGGAAAGAGGCUUGACGAUCACGCCGCUGGGAUCGAAAACAGUUUCGACGGCGACAACAGCGGUUGUUCUGAAAAAGAACCUAAACAGAGACUGGAACGGUGGAUCUAUGAU